UGUCAAUGCUGCUUCUUGGUACUUGGAGAGAGGUGGUCCGUGGCGCGUUCGCUUUUUUUAUGGCGCACAUUACACGGUCGACCUCUUUGCAGUAUCUAAUCCCGCCUGCAAGCUUU
rnacentral:precursor_RNA from 13 species